rnacentral:rRNA from 1 species
UACGUAGGGUGCGAGCGUUGUCCGGAAUUAUUGGGCGUAAAGGGCUCGUAGGCGGUCUGUCACGUCGGGAGUGAAAACUCAGGGCUCAACCCUGAGCCUGCUUCCGAUACGGGCAGACUAGAGGUAUGCAGGGGAGAACGGAAUUCCUGGUGUAGCGGUGAAAUGCGCAGAUAUCAGGAGGAACACCGGUGGCGAAGGCGGUUCUCUGGGCAUUACCUGACGCUGAGGAGCGAAAGUGUGGGGAGCAAACAGG